rnacentral:rRNA from 1 species
CAAUAGCGUAUAUUUAAGUUGUUGCAGUUAAAAAGCUCGUAGUUGGAUUUCGGAUGGGACUUGCCGGUCCGUCGUUUCGAUGUGCACUGGCCAGUCCUAUCUUGUUGUCGGGGACUAGCUCCUGGGCUUCACUGUCCGGGACUAGGAGCUGACAAGGUUACUUUGAGUAAAUUAGAGUGUUCAAAGCAAGCCUACGCUCUGAAUACAUUAGCAUGGAAUAACACGAUAGGACUCUGGCUUAUCUUGUUGGUCUGUGAGACCAGAGUAAUGAUUAAGAGGGACAGUCGGGGGCAUUCGUAUUUCAUUGUCAGAGGUGAAAUUCUUGGAUUUAUGAAAGACGAACUUCUGCGAAAGCAUUUGUCAAGGAUGUUUUCAUUGA